UGGAAAAAUUAAAUAUGAACUUAUUUUUUUAAACUUAGUAAUAUUUUUGGAUUAUAAUUUUUCAAAACAACUGUUGGGGAAUUUUGCAAAGGAGCACUUUUUAGAGUUUGUCACACAAUGGAAACAUUUCCAAAUUUAUUCCUUAUUAUUCAAUUCAUGAAAUGUAUGCCAAAAUUUUUUUUUUUUACCAUGUUUAUUUUAUGAUCAUGAUAAGGCCAAAAAAAAAAGGUGUGUUUCCGGUCGCCCGACCGACCCUAAUUUUUUGGCGCCGACCCUAACUUUUUUUUCCCGGAAAAAAAAAUUAAAAAAAAAAAUCCGGAUUUCUUUCGUUUUUUUCCGGAAACGGUUUUUGUUUAGUAUAGCCUUUGAAUGGCAUCUUUUAAACGUUUGAUUUCAAAUAAAAUUUUAAUACAGUAAGCAUUUGUGUGAUACAGAUUGAAGUCAAACAACGGCAUGGCUUCUGCUAUGGCCAUCAGUCAAAGUGUGUUAUCAAUAACAAUCGAUGAGUGUCCACACAGGAACGAGAAAAAAGUAUAAUAGCCCCAUUUUCUAAUUCUACCACCUUUAUUGAUAUAUUCAAUCAGUAUCAUGACUUUGGAUUAAAGAACAAUGAAUUUACUGUGACUGGAAAAAACCAUGAAAUAUCUCAGUUCUGAAAAGUUUGAAAAUUUUAUAAGCUGGAAGUCCUGGCCAAGUCUUCUGCAACUUUUGAACAUGGACUAUUCAUAUCUUGUAUACUUUAUACAAUGAACUGAUGAAAAUAACCUGAAAGAAUAACAAACUGAUUAUAAAAAUACACAAAAAACAACCGAAGCAGGCCAGUAAAAAAAAAUAAAAAAAAAAAAAAAUACCUACCUACCGACCCUAAUUUUUUGGGGCAUGCAACAGGAAACACAC
rnacentral:lncRNA from 1 species